AUUAAACGUUUCUUGGGGCGUAAGAAAUGAAACUUGCAGCUCAAGUCUCAAUACUUGGCGCCCAAGCAAAAUAAUUAAUUAAAGACAAAUUAUGGAGUAAUUAAGUGAUAAUCAUAAUUAACAAUACAGUAUAAAAAUCAAAGCAAUGAGCCAAACAUUCUUUUACCAAAAACCAGUGAAGGGAAGAGUGUUGGCCAGGAAGCUUUUUGGUGUAAAAUGGAGGAGUUUGCAACUCAAUCGAAUCAUAUAAUAUUAAGGUAAAAAAUAACUCACUCUCAUCUUUUCUUUUCGAAAUAAAUAAAUAUGAUAGGUUAUGUAAAGUUAUAUGGUUUGUAGGACCCCUAUACUCAAUUCACUACUUUAAAAUUCUGAAUGUAGCCUAACAAGAACCAGUGUAUAUAUCUAUACUCUUGUGACGCAAAAUCUGGUUUUUCCCCAAAAAUAUGCAAAUCCAAAGUUAGGAGUAUAAAUGAAUUUGGGAUUAUUUAUAAAUAAUGUAUAAAUUUGUGUUCUUGAAAUCAAGUUGGGGGCUUUGCUUGAAUCUGGUUGUAUUGUAAAAAAAUGGGUUUAGAUCAAAUUGUGGGGCUGAUUUGUUGUUAAAAUCGGAGCAGUGGGCUGGUGGUGGUAGCUGGCCGGAGCUCGCGUCGGCGUCGCCGACGGAGCCCGCGGCGGUGCGCAGCGACGGUGAGCGAAACAGAGAUGGUGAGGAAAGCAAGAGAGAGGGAGAGGUAUGUGUGGGCUGUGUGCGUGUGUACGUCGGGGAGGAAGCCGACCGUGGCAGCGAGAUGGUGGUGAUUGGCAGCGAGAAGAGAGAAAGGGAGAGAGAGAGAGAGAGAGAGAGAGAGAGAAAGAGAGAGAGAUUAGAGAAUAGAGAGAUGAGAGUAGGCCACCAGAGCCAUACUCCGGCCGGCGGGGAAGAAAUGGUGAAGAGAAGAGGAAGAUGGGGAGAGAUGGAGAGAGUAGUUUAAUAAUUAUAUAAUUAAAAAUUUCUAUAUGUAAUAAAAGGUAAUAAAUUUGGGUUUUUAAGUAAUAUAGGUUGAAUAAGGGAUUUGGGGUAAUAAAAAUUAUUGGAUUUGGGGUUAAGAAUUUCAAUUGAAAAAGAGCAGCGUACAAAUAUUAAUUUAAAAAUGUUUUGAUUAAUAAAAAUACUAUUUUGGGUAUAGAUAUAUAUAAUAAGGAAGUGGAAAUCGAUAUUGAAAGAAGCUUAAUAAUAAUUGUUGAGUUGGUAAAUUUUGGGAUUUAAAUUUGGUAAUAAUUGGAUAAUAUAUUUGGGUAAAAUAUUUAAAAGAGAUUUAGAAUUUAGAGGUAAUUUAAUAAUUUGAUCUUUAUUAUUUAAUAAAUGGGCGAUUAACAAUAUUAGCCGAAUAAGAGGACAUCAUUAAAAAUGAGGUCUCCGUUAAGCGGAUUAAUAAUUAUUCAAAUGAUAAAGGUGAAUUUGUACAAGUGUAGAGGUAAGAAGUUAUUGAUGUUAGUUAAUAGAAUUGUGGUAUCAUUGAAGCAAGAGACUAUAUUUAUCACAUAAUAAAUCAUAUAAAUGAUCUCUUUCUUAUAAAGAGAUUUUUAAAUCAUUAUUUUGUGUGGCUUAGAAUAUAAAAUAUCGGGAAAAGACGGAGCCAGUUGUAUAUUAAUUUCGGAAGGUCUUGUCAAGCUAAGGACAUCAGGCAAGUUCACUAUCCCUCUCUUGACGUGAAAAUUUUCGUGCCUAUUUGAUGAUUGUGUGAAAAGUGUUGAUUGUGAAGAUAUUACAUUUCGUACCAAUGUGAAUCGAGGAAAUAUCUCCGUUUCAUUUUGAAGGCUUUAAAGAUAUUGUUCAUAUAGUACUUUUUAUAAUUCGAGCCCUCCCAUUGUACGGGAAUGAGCUGAUCCUAAUAACGAUAAUAUUUUGAAUCUUCAAAACUUGAGGUGAAUACAUUGCAGCGAUGAUCUCACCACAAUUAACUUACUCACUUUUGGAGAUCAUCUUAUUCUUUGGAAUCUAGUUAUUUUAAUUAUCCUUCACUUCUACCUUCGGGUAAUCUUUGUUGAAAGGGUGCAUUGUUCGCACUUCUUUGGUAGAGAUGAGUAGUGUUUAUUUGGGAGAAUUUUCUUGUAUUCGGAGGAAUCUAUUCAAGCUGGUCAACACGAAUUUAUUAAAUUCGUGGUAGAGUUGAGAAUUUACUAUCUGGUAAGGCAGAUAGUUUAGGGUUACAAAUGUUAACCCUUAUGCUAGCAAAUGAGAGUGGUAGGUGUGUCUUGUGUGGUUACGAUCAGACUGCAAAGAUCACACAGGAGAACGGUAUUCACGAAAUGGUGCUGAUCGAGCCAUGUAGUGUUACCGAAAGGUGGAAGACCAGCGUUUUCUUUACUGGAACUUGUGUUGUCAUUUGACGAUAGCUGCUUUGUUACUUUGGCUUGAAUUGUUUCUAUGCCUUACGUGCAUAUUCUGUUGAUUGUUGUUUUGCUCUAUGUGGACUUGCUGAGCAAUUUGAUUGCUCAUUCUUGCAUCUGUUUUAUUCCUGUUUGAGCAGUAAAUAGUGUGUAUGGCACAACUCAAGAGAACCGCCGGAAAUGGGUUUUUGGCAAAGACAGGGAAAGGGCGCAUCACCCAAGCUGAUACUGCUAGACUACUCAACUUGGUAGUACGAGCUAUAGUUAUUAUAAUGGUCUGAAAUCAGACUUCCCUUUAUGUAAUAAAGUUAGACUCAGUAGGAAUGUUGUAAGACAAUCGACCCUGGACUUGUGGGGCAAGAGUUGGAUUGUAUUAUAUUAAUAUGUAAUGCAAGUAUUGUUUUGAGCCAGAUGUUUAGUGGCGGACCAGAUCUGCGGGAUGUAGAUCUGGGGGCGUCACA
rnacentral:lncRNA from 1 species